rnacentral:misc_RNA from 1 species
GAUGAAGAACGUAGCGAAAUGCGAUAAGUAAUGUGAAUUGCAGAAUUCAGUGAAUCAUCGAAUCUUUGAACGCACAUUGCGCCCGCCAGCACUCUGGCGGGCAUGCCUGUUCGAGCGUCAUUUCAACCAUCAAGCCCCCAGGGGCUUGUGCUGGGGCCCUGCGGCUGCCCGCAGGCCCUGAAAACCAGUGGCGGGCUCGCUAGUCACACCGAGCGCAGUAGCACAUCUCGCUCAGGGCGUGCGGCGGGCUCCUGCCGUGAAACCCCCCACUGUAACCCCAAAGGUUGACCUCGGAUCAGGUAGGAAUACCCGCUGAACUUAAGCAUAUCAAUAAGCGGAGG